AGGAGGAACAACCGCAGUGGCGGGGCCAGCUCUGGAGCCCUGGAGUCAGCCCCCGCAGUAGCUCCAGAGCUCUCCGUCUGCAGGGCCUGGAGGCUCCGGGCGGGG
rnacentral:pre_miRNA from 1 species